CUCCAUGUCAUUGAGUUCCAGAGGUGUUCCUUUGUGCGUCCUGUUCCUGUCUCCUUUCGUCGACUUCCAGCACUACAGAAAAACUACUGGCCAGAUUUUCAUGAAACUUUGGGGAAGAAAACCACCAACAAUAACUAUGCAUUCAAGGUCAAUGCAGAUUAGACCGACAAGACCAAACUGCCAUUCCUUACGGGAGGAUAUGUCCCCUACUGACCCAGAAGAUGACGCAGGUUCUGGUCCAGUCUCUUGUUAUCUGACGGCUUGACUACUGCAACUCCCUCCUGGCUGGACUACCUUCAUGUGCCAUCCAACCUCUACAGCUCAUCCAGAAUGACUGAAAACCCACC